rnacentral:rRNA from 1 species
GACGUAGGGGGCCAGCGUUGUUCGGAAUUACUGGGCGUAAAGCGCGCGUAGGCGGAUCUGCAAGUCGGGGGUGAAAUCCCGAGGCUCAACCUCGGAACUGCCUUCGAUACUGCGGGUCUCGAGUCCGGGAGAGGUGAGUGGAAUUCCUAGUGUAGAGGUGAAAUUCGUAGAUAUUAGGAAGAACACCAGUGGCGAAGGCGGCUCACUGGCCCGGUACUGACGCUGAGGCGCGAAAGCGUGGGGAGCAAACAGG